rnacentral:rRNA from 1 species
UACGGGGGGGGCAAGCGUUGUUCGGAAUCACUGGGCGUAAAGGGCUCGUAGGUGGCCAACUAAGUCAGACGUGAAAUCCCUCGGCUUAACCGGGGAACUGCAUCUGAUACUGGAUGGCUUGAGAUUGGGAGAGGGAUGCGGAAUUCCAGGUGUAGCGGUGAAAUGCGUAGAUAUCUGGAGGAACACCGGUGGCGAAGGCGACAUCCUGGACCGGUAUUGACGCUGAGGCGCGAAAGCCAGGGGAGUAAACGGG